UGGAGCCGUAGCGAAAGCGAGUCUUAAUAGGGCGAAUCAGUACGUAGUUGUAGACCCGAAACCGAGUGACCUAUCCAUGGUCAGGUUGAAGGUGGGGUAAUACCUACUGGAGGACCGAACAAGUGGGUGUUAAAAAACCCUUUGAUGAACUGUGGAUAGCGGUGAAAUUCCAAUCGAACUCGGAGAUAGCUGGUUCUAUCCGAAAUACAUUUAGGUGUAGCCUUGCAAUUAGCUUACUGGAGGUAGAGCACUAUUUGGUCUAGGGGCCCUUCAAGGGUUACCAAAAUCAGAUAAACUCCGAAUGCCAGCUAAGUAUGUGCAGGAGUCAGACGGUGAGUGAUAAGAUCCAUCGUCAAAAGGGGAACAGCCCAGAUCACCAGUUAAGGUCCCUAAAUAUAUGCUAAGUGGAAAACGUUGUGAAGGUGCAUAGACAACUAGGAGGUUGGCUCAGAAGCAGCCACCCUUUAAAGAGUGCGUAAUAGCUCACUAGUCGAGUGCUCUUGCGCGGAUAAUGUACCGGGGCUAAGCAUAUUACCGAAACUGUGGAUGCGUAAGCAUGGUAGGAUAGCGUAAUUAACGCGAUGAAGGAUGACCGUAAGGACAUGUUGGAGCGUUAACUAGUGAGAAUUCCGGUAUGAGUAGCGAAAGAUAGGUGAGAAUCCUAUCCACCGAAUGAGUAAGGUUUCCCCCGGAAGGCUCGUCCGCGGGGGGUUAGUCGGGACCUAAGGCGAGGCUGAAAAGCGUAGUCGAUGGACAACAGGUUGAUAUUCCUGUACCGAUAUUUAAUUGCCGAAGGAAGGACGCAGAAGGAUAACACAGGCCACUAUUGGAUGUGGUUUUAAACAGUUAGUCUUCAUAAGAGUCAAAUGCUUUUAUGUUUAAGGAUAAGCUGUGAAUGUACCAAGUUUACUUGGAAAUUGUGUGAUUUCACGCUGCUGAAAAAAGUUUCGUAGGAAGAAAAUAUUGCCCGUACCGCAAACCGACACAGGUACUCAAGUGGAGAACACUAAGGUGAGCGAGUGAACUAUUGUUAAGGAACUCUGCAAAAUGAGUCCGUAACUUCGGAAGAAGGACUGCUGGUUUUAUACCAGCCGCAGCAAAUAGGCCCAAACAACUGUUUAUCAAAAACACAGGUUUCUGCAAAAUCGUAAGAUGAAGUAUAGGGGCUGACGCCUGCCCAGUGCUGGAAGGUUAAAAGGAGGACUUAGCUUCGGCGAAGGUCUUAAUUGAAGCCCCAGUGAACGGCGGCCGUAACUAUAACGGUCCUAAGGUAGCGAAAUUCCUUGUCGGGUAAGUUCCGACCCGCAUGAAAGGCGUAAUGAUUUGGGCGCUGUCUCAACAAUAGACUCGGUGAAAUUUAAAUUCCAGUGAAGAUGCUGGGUACCCGCGACAGGACGGAAAGACCCCGUGGAGCUUUACUGUAGC
rnacentral:rRNA from 1 species